UGGCGGACGGGUGAGUAAUGUCUGGGAAACUGCCCGAUGGAGGGGGAUGACUACUGGAAACGGUAGCUAAUACCGCAUAACGUCGCAAGACCAAAGAGGGGGACCUUCGGGCCUCUUGCCAUCGGAUGUGCCCAGAUGGGAUUAGCUAGUAGGUGGGGUAACGGCUCACCUAGGCGACGAUCCCUAGCUGGUCUGAGAGGAUGACCAGCCACACUGGAACUGAGACACGGUCCAG
rnacentral:rRNA from 1 species